UUACGGCUAUAUCACGUUCAUACACCAGUUCUUGCACGACCACCGAAGUUAAGCAACGUCGGGCCUGGUCAGUGCCAAGAUGUGUGACCAUUUGGGAAUACCAGG